rnacentral:rRNA from 1 species
AACGCUAGCGACAGGCUUAACACAUGCAAGUCGAGGGGUAACAGGGUAGCAAUACCGCUGACGACCGGCGCACGGGUGAGUAACGCGUAUGCAACCUGCCUAUAACUGGGGAAUAGCUCCCUGAAAGGGGAAUUAACACCGCAUAACACUAUUGAUUCGCAUGGAUUAGUAGUUAAAUGUAGCGAUACAGGUUAUAGAUGGGCAUGCGUGACAUUAGCUAGUUGGUGAGGUAACGGCUCACCAAGGCUACGAUGUCUAGGGGUUCUGAGAGGAAGGUCCCCCACACUGGUACUGAGACACGGACCAGACUCCUACGGGAGGCAGCAGUGAGGAAUAUUGGUCAAUGGGCGCAAGCCUGAACCAGCCAUGUCGCGUGCAGGAAGACUGCCCUAUGGGUUGUAAACUGCUUUUAUAGUAGAAGAAACACAUCUACGCGUAGAUGUCUGCCAGUAUACUAUGAAUAAGCAUCGGCUAACUCCGUG